AUACUUACCUGGCUCAGGAGAUACCGUGAUCACUCAGGCGGUUCCCCCAAGGCGAGGCCCGGCCAUGGCACACCUCGGCCUGGGUUGACCCUUGCGAUUCCCCCAAAUGUGGGGAACUCGGGAGUACAAUUUCUGAUAGUGGGGACUGCGUUCGCGCUCUCCCUC